UAGUAGUAUUGUCGUAGUGUGUAUCUGUGUAUGGCAGGUUAAUGUUAGACAGGCAGUCCUGUAUAUCAAUCAAGUGACAAACGUCAUAGUGAGGAUGGAUGAUCGGCUGAUGCCCACCUUUUUUUUUUUUAAUGCCAUACGAUCGACCCAAAAUUACAGUCAAGAUACUGAAACAAGGAACUUUCCUAAUGCUAACGCCACGAUCAAAAGAAAAGCAGAGACUUGAGGUGACAAACACUGUUGAAUUCGAGAACUCAUGGCAGGAACAGGAAGCUGUCGAUCUUGCUACCACAUCGGGAACAGUCACGUCUUCAAUGAAGGUAAAAGUAACCUUAGAUGUUCAUUUAUUUAUGUGCAUUUCCGAUUGUUUUCUGCAUGUAAAUCAUCAUUCUAUCAUUUUUGGCUUGAUGGACGGAUUAUUAUUGUUAUUUCCUGUGGGAAAAACUGAUUUGGGUAGUGUCCGUUUCGAGUGAGACCCAAUGGAAUGGAUUAAUGACGCCAACCAAGGUUCCACUGUGCUGUAUAUGCACCUUAUGUACUACACAACACAAAUUAAGUCCUGCAAUACUCAUAAAACACCAGUAGCGACUUCUUGCUCCCUCGCCAUGACCUCUCUGUCAGGUGUCUUCAAAGGAUGACUAGUUUUACUUUAUUUUAGUUUUAUUAUACAGUGUUUAACUUAUUUUUACACUUAUAUGACAGUCAACUUUGGAGGUUCCACAGUAGUUCAACGGGGUUAACUUUCGAACUCCAGGGUGCAGCACCAGUCAAAAGUAUAUAGACACCUUCUCAUUCACUAGCAUGAGAAAGUGUCUCUAAACUUUUGCCCGUUACGCUGUGUGACGUAAAGCAUAGAAAUAUAUUACACAAACACACUCCUGCAGUAGUCUGAACCUACAACCUUUUAUUGGCCUGCCACAGUUGGGCAGGAUGAGUGUUGGGGGGGUGCAGGAGCAGAUUUGGGAAGGUGAAAGGCAGGGAGGGUGUCAUGGUUGGCUGUAUCAGUGACCAGAAAAGGAAACAGAGUGGAUGGAUCAGAAGUCAAAGAGACACUUGAGUUUUCGUGUCCGUGUCGUCUCCGUCGCUUUAGGGACGGUCUCGAAAUUGUCAGAUCCUCCAGAGUUCAUGUGAGUGUAAAAAUAAGCAUCAGCUGACUUGCGCUCUUGCUCGGGGCCCACAUGAUUCAGAGUAUGUAACGUAUAUAAUUUAGUGUCAUGUAUCCCCCUCCCCCACCACCAGACACUAUGCAUCCUCUUUCCUGCUGCACUUUGUGACUCAUACGCCACAGUCCAUCCUCGUGUCAUUUCUCUCUCUUUAUUGAAAAAUUCAUUCAGCUGCGCUCCCCCGCUGUAGCGUGUGCCCGAAAAAAGCCUUUAGCUCGUCUGCCGCAGGACGUGUGAGCAGAGUGGAUCUGUAACAGGCAUUGCCCCGACGACAUGUGUUUUCUUUGAAAAGCCAAUAAAAGAGGAGAGGAUUGGAAAGAGGAUAUGAAAGAUGAUGAAUAGAGGAAGUGGGAGUGUAUUGUCUGGAUGGAUGGAUGAUGUAUUGGAAUAUGGGUAUGCAUACACACACUCGCACGUACAGGGGACCAGGAAGUGAUAAGGCAGGAAUGUGGUGAGAAAAAGAGACAGCAAGAUAUUAAAAAAAUGAAGAGUGGCAAGGAAAGUUGGAGAAAAACAAAAAAGGCAAGACGAGUCAAUGAAACGAAAAAGAGGAGAAGAUACAAAGGAAAAGGAAAGGUGAGGAGAAAACAGAAAAAGAAGACAAAGAGACGAAAGGGAAGGAAGAGCGGAAAACAGGCAAGAACAGGAAAACAGCAUCGAGGACAGGAAAGGAAGGCGAGGAAAAGAGCAACAUGGCAAGAUAAGGAAAACAAGAAAGGAAAGGAGGAAAAGAAAACGCGAAAAUCAGGCAGGAAACAGACAGGAAAAUUAGGAGAACAUGCAAGAAAAGGAAAGGAAAGCGAGAAAAAGAACAACAUGGCAAGAUAAGGAAAACAAGGAAGGGGCGUAAAAAAAAGGGAGGCAAGGAAAAGAAAAUGAGGAAAACAGACAAGAAAAAGAAAAGGAAAGGAAGGUGAGGAAAAGUACAUGGCAAGAUAAAGAAAACAAGAAAGGAAAGGAGGAAAAGGGAGGCAAGGAAAAGAAAACAAGGAAAUUUAGGCAGCAGGAAAAAGACAAGAAACUUAGGAAAACAUGCAAGGAAAGGAAAGGAAAGCGACAAAAAGAGCAACAUGGCAAGAUAAGGGAAACAAGGAAGGGCAGUAAGAAAAGAAGGAAGCAAGGAAAAGAAAACGAGGAAAACCGGCAGGAAAAAGACAAGAAAACAGGCAAGAAAAGGAAAGGAAGUUGAGGAAAAGAAAAUGGCAAGAUAAUGAGAACGGAAAGAAAAGAGGAAAAGGGAGGGAAGGAAAAGAAAA